UACGUAGGCAGCAAGCGUUGUUCGGAGUUACUGGGCGUAAAGGGUGCGUAGGCGGUUGUUUAAGUUUGGUGUGAAAUCUCCCGGCUCAACUGGGAGGGUGCGCCGAAUACUGAAUGACUAGAGUGCGGGAGAGGAGAGUGGAAUUCCUGGUGUAAGCGGUGAAAUGCGUAGAUAUCAGGAGGAACACCGGUGGUGUAGACGGCUCGUCUGGACCGUAACUGACGCUGAGGCACGAAAGCGUGGGGUAGCAAACAGG
rnacentral:rRNA from 1 species